AUAUAUAUAUAUAUAUAUUCAUUUAUUUAAAAAAAAGAUACAAAAUAAAACAAUGCUUCCUUAUUAUUCUUACCACUAUAUAUUUGCACUAACAUUUCUUGUUGUUGUUUUAAACAGUUUAACACGAUGUUGUUUCUUUAUCCGGUAGAACUUAGUUUUGUAUACACAUCGCAUUCUCUCCGACAAGUUGCAUGUAUUUCCAACACCUCAAAAGAGAAAGAAACCGCAGCAAGGAUUUGUGGGUAACAGAAAUGGCAUUUACAUUUGUCAAUGUCUUCAUGUUAACAGAUAUUCUGAUAAUAGAAUCAAAUCAAAAUGGAGUGAGUAGUGGGGCAGGCCAAUUAACUACAACCAAUUAAAAAUGUUUAACUUGAUAAUUGAACCUUCUAAGAAAGAAAAUAAAAGGAAAAUAAAGGAAGAUACUCUCGGACGGAUUUUUGCUCUUUCUUACACCGGAGCUCAACAAAAUGGAGGCUGGUCCCAGACCUGUUUGUGCUCUUGCCAACCCCAUUAAAAUGUCCUUUUCAAGCCGAGUGCCAAUGAGUGACAAGAAGUUGGUACGAUAGCACAAACAGACUGGCACUCAGGUUAGGACAAAAUGACAAGUGGAUCAAAUUUUGGAUUGACACUGAAAAGUCUUGAGUAUAACACAGCCUGCUAACAUGAGGUAAAACAAAAUCUAACAACAAUAUAUAUAUAUAUAUAACAUCUAAAAACACAAAUGAGAUUCAUCAACGCAUUACAUCACACAUACAACCAACAUGCUGCUCAAAGAUGAUUGGCUAGCGAGUCGGCGUGACUACUGAGGGUGUUGGAACACCUAGAACCUGAUGAUGCAGCUGCUGCUUCAUUGUAGUAAACUGGUCUUUUAGGAUGAAUCCCAAAUGGCACCCUAUUCCCUAUAUAGUGCACUACUUUAGACCAGAACCCUAUAGAACCCUAUUCCCUAUAUAGUGCACUACUUUAGACCAGGACCCUAUAGAACCCUAUUCCCUAUAUAGUACACUACUUUAGACCAGGACCCUAUAGAACCCUAUUCCCUAUAUAGUGCAUUACUUUAGACCAGGUCCCAUGAGUAGGGCUCUGGUUAAAAAACGUCAAGUGUGCCCUACAUAGGGAGAUACAGCCAUACUCUCAUUUUCAGUCAGACUAAAUUCAGAGAUAUAGCCAACAGGCAUAACCACCACUUUAGAUAUAUAGAAUGUUAUUCUCUAUUCCGACAACAUAAAUAAGAAACAAAACAAUCUAUUGGAGAGGAAAAAAAAGAGAAAAGAAAUCUACAUUUUUUUUUUCUUCCAAAACUCAAAUAUACACAACUUAAUAAAAUCUAAACCAAUACAUUUCUCAUUACUUCCUCAAAGACAAAUCUAAAACCAAGAGUUGAAUAGAUUGGUGGUAAUAGGUAUAUAGAGGGAGACGUUCUGAGCACUUUUACCCACUAACACUGCAUUCAUACACACGUACUCGUGUACGCAGUAUUACGCACGCACACACAGAGUUGCUAAAAGACGAAGUUCAAUUAUGUUAGUAAAUCCUUCAGAGCUCAAAUUAAUGUCAAGUUUCAGUACGGACAAACAAGACUGGAUUGGACAGAGAGGAGGGUAGAGAAAAUAGAGGGCAGUAGCAGUAGUAAAAGUAUUGAGAGAAAAGAGGGAGUAUUUGAGAGAACACAACAGAGAGCAAGAGGAGAACGAUGUUGAUGAAGAGGAGAAAGUGGAGGAAGAGGGAAAGCAUCCACAUGAUGACACUGAAUUAAACAGAUAUUUUUUCCUUUUAAAAAUUUAUGGAAAUCAUUCUGUCUUAAAGACAUUAUACAGCAGGGAGCAUCAACUAGAUUCAACCGCAGGUUCAGACCGCGUGUUUUAUCUACAGCAGGGAGCAUCAACUAGAUUCAACCGCAGGUUCAGACCGUGUGUUUUAUCUACAGCAGGAAGCAUCAACUAGAUUCAACCGAAGGUUCAGACGGUGUGUUUUAUCUACAGCAGGGAGCAUCAACUAGAUUCAACCGAAGGUUCAGACCGUGUGUUUUAUCUACAGCAGGGAGCAUCAACUAGAUUCGACCGCAGGUUCAGACGGUGUGUUUUAUCUACAGCAGGGAGCAUCAACUAGAUUCAACCGCAGGUUCAGACCGUGUGUUUUAUCUACAGCAGGGAGCAUCAACUAGAUUCAACCGAAGGUUCAGACGGUGUGUUUUAUCUACAGCAGGGAGCAUCAACUAGAUUCAACCGCAGGUUCAGACCGUGUGUUUUAUCUACAGCAGGGAGCAUCAACUAGAUUCAACCACAGGUUCAGACGGUGUGUUUUAUCUACAGCAGGGAGCAUCAACUAGAUUCAACCGCGGGCAGAUUAUUAUUUUUUUUAAACUAAUGGUCAGGGUGCCGGAACAUAAUUACAAAUUACUUGUACAGAUAUAAUAAUUGACUAUAAAACAUAAUUAUUUCAAACGUUGGUUACAUUUGUAUUACGAUCACAUGUCAACCGCAAGUUGGUGGAACCCUGCUAUACCGUAACAGUCUAGCAGGGUAACGGUAACAGUCUAGGUAGGUCUAGGUGUAAUCAGUGUCAGAACCCUGCUAUGCCGUAUCCACGGUAACAGUCUGGGUAGGUCUAGGUGUAAUCAGUGUCAGAACCCUGCUAUACCGUAUCCACGGUAACAGUUUAGGUAGGUCUAGGUGUAAUCAGUGUCAGAACCCUGCUAUACCGUAUCCACGGUAACAGUCUAGGUAGGUCUAGGUGUAAUCAGUGUCAGAACCCUGCGAUACCGUAUCCACGGUAACAGUUUAGGUAGGUCUAGGUGUAAUCAGUGUCAGAACCCUGCUAUACCGUAUCCACGGUAACAGUCUAGGUAGGUCUAGGUGUAAUCAGUGUCAGAACCCUGCUAUACCGUAUCCACGGUAACAGUCUAGGUAGGUCUAGGUGUAAUCAGUGUCAGAACCCUGCUAUACCGUAUCCACGGUAACAGUCUAGGUAGGUCUAGGUGUAAUCAGUGUUUAACCUUCAUUAAAACACACACAUCUUUCAUAGUGUGGUCCCCCUGCUCCCUUUCUAUCCAGUCACAUGCUUCUCAUAUUCCACUAGUCUUAUGGAAACUACGAACAAAAAUCCUAGGGAAAAAACACAACAAAGGAUAACCAAAGAUCUGUAAGCAGCGCAAGUGUUUAGUCCAUAAGCAGAAUACCAUGUGCCUUGUAUCAGUACAUGGUUAGGGAUGGUUAGCAAUGGUUCACACGGUCUACAGUACACAACGAUAAACUAAUCAACGUUCUUUUGAAGCGUUUGUGUGUUUCCGUAUAAGAUAACCUGUUGACAUGGCAGCUGUGGACCUACGAACCGUGGCAAGUCGCAACACAGAUACCUUGUCGCUGCCCGAGGAGGGCCACCGUGUCGAAACAUCUACAGCGGUCAAAUCAUGGUCCGAACUGAAUGGUAGAACAUGGCUCAGAACUCAGGAAGAAUAUCAGGCCCACUUCUCUAAAAAUGUAAAAGUGAAGUUGAUCGAGCCACUGAUGGACAGGUGACCCCAGUGUUAACGAAAUGCGAUCGUUAGUUAUGGUCUCUACACAGUCUAAACUCGUACAAUAUAUACUUAACAGAA